CAGCAGCCGCGGUAAUACGUAGGUGGCAAGCGUUGUCCGGAAUUAUUGGGCGUAAAGGGCUCGCGGGCGGUUUCUUAAGUCUGAUGUGAAAGCCCCCGGCUCAACCGGGGAGGGUCAUUGGAAACUGGGAAACUUGAGUGCAGAAGAGGAGAGUGGAAUUCCACGUGUAGCGGUGAAAUGCGUAGAGAUGUGGAGGAACACCAGUGGCGAAGGCGACUCUCUGGUCUGUAAUUGACGCUGAGGAGCGAAAGCGUGGGGAGCGAACAGGAUUAGAUACCCCGGUAGUCCCUGUCUCUUAUAC
rnacentral:rRNA from 1 species